GUAUAGUGUAGACUAGUUGUAUUAAUUAUUAAUACAAUAUUGACUAUGUUAAAUAAAGUUCUAGAUAGAAUAAUGAUCAUGACAAUUUUCUAUCUAUAUGUCUUGGCUAAAUCUCGUGCCAGCAGCCGCGGUAAUACGAGGAAGACUAGUGUUAUUCAUCUUUAUUAGGUUUAAAGGGUACCUAGACGGUAUAUUUAGCCCAUCACAAGGUACGAAUAUACUAGAGUUAUAUGUGAGAAGGAAGUACUCAUAGAGUAGAGAUGAAAUUUUAUUAUACUAUGAGGUGACUGGUUGAGGCGAAAGCAACCUUCUAUGUAAGUAUGGUAUGCACAGGUUAACACAUGUAAGAUAUUAAGUUACGUAUAAAGUUACAUGUGUUAAUAUGUACUAAUUUUUAUUAAUAUGUACUAAUUUCUAUUAAUAUGUGCAAAUAACUGACGUUGAGGGACGAAGGCCUGGGUAGCAAAUAGGAUUAGAUACCCUAGUAGUCCAGGCAGAAAAUUAUGAAUGUUAUAGACUAGAUAGUAAUCCAAAAGAUAAGGAGAACAAUAAAUAAAUUCUUUAUAGCCUUUUAAGCCAAUUCAUCUUUAUUAGGCUAUUUAACCUUGUUUCUGGUGUGCCAUACAGUUAGUGUAUAAAUAAAAGUGCAAGCAUUCCACCUUAAGAGUAAUGUGGCAACACAGGAACUGAAAUCAUUAGACCGUUUCUGAAACCAGUAGUGAAGUAUGUUAUUUAAUUCGAUGACCCGCGAAAAACCUUACCACAAUUUGAAUGUUAUUUAAUUAAUACAAGCGCUGCACGGCUGUCUUCAGUUAAUGUCGUGAGAUUUUGGUUAGUUCCAUUAAAUUAACGUAAACCCUUGCUUUAUUUAUUGUUUUUUUUAUAAAGUAGUUCGCCACUAGAUUGGAUAUGAUAAAAGGGA
rnacentral:rRNA from 1 species